rnacentral:misc_RNA from 1 species
GAUGAAGAACGUAGCGAAAUGCGAUAAGUAAUGUGAAUUGCAGAAUUCAGUGAAUCAUCGAAUCUUUGAACGCACCUUGCGCCCUUUGGCUAUUCCGAAGGGCAUACCUGUUUGAGUAUCAUGAACACCUCAACUCUUCACGGCUUGCCGUGAUGAGUUUGGACUUUGGGGGUCUUGCUGGCCUACGAGCCAGCUCCUCUCAAAUGUAUUAGCUUGCCGGUGUUUGGUGGCAUCACAGGUGUGAUAACUAUCUACGCUUGUGGUUUUCCACUAGGUAACCUUCAGCAAUGGAGGUUCACCGGAGCUCACAAAUGUCUCUCCUUGCCAAGGGCAGAUUUUGACCAUUUGAUCUCAAAUCAGGUAGGACUACCCGCUGAACUUAAGCAUAUCAAUAAGCGGAGGA